CACAAGCGGUGGAUGAUGUGGUUUAAUUCGAUGCAACGCGAAAACCUUACCCACCUUUGACAUGUACGGAACUUACCAGAGAUGGUUUGGUGCUCGAAAGAGAGCCGUAACACAGGUGCUGCAUGGCUGUCGUCAGCUCGUGUCGUGAGAUGUUGGGUUAAGUCCCGCAACGAGCGCAACCCUUGUCAUUAGUUGCUACGAAAGGGCACUCUAAUGAGACUGCCGGUGACAAACCGGAGGAAGGUGGGGAUGACGUCAAGUCCUCAUGGCCCUUAUAGGUGGGGCUACACACGUCAUACAAUGGCUGGUACAAAGGGUUGCCAACCCGCGAGGGGGAGCCAAUCCCAUAAAGCCAGUCGUAGUCCGGAUCGCAGUCUGCAACUCGACUGCGUGAAGUCGGAAUCGCUAGUAAUCGUGGAUCAGCAUGUCACGGUGAAUACGUUCCCGGGUCUU
rnacentral:rRNA from 1 species